UUUCCGUAGGUGAACCUGCGGAAGGAUCAUUAAUGAGUUGUCAUGGGGUUCGAUACUGGCAGCCAGUUUUUGGAUGCAUGUGCUUGCCCUAACAAUCAUCUUCUUCCAAACACCUGUGCACAUUUUUGAGGGAGUCUUGAGUUGGUUGCCGCUCUUGGGUGAUUUUCUCACAUUCCCUUAAAUCAUUAUACGCUAUUAACAAUGUUGAACGUGCUCUGUGCCGCAAGGCCAUUAAUACAAUACAACUUUUAACAACGGAUCUCUUGGCUCUC
rnacentral:misc_RNA from 1 species